rnacentral:rRNA from 1 species
UGGGGAAUAUUGGACAAUGGGGGAAACCCUGAUCCAGCCAUGCCGCGUGUGUGAAGAAGGCCUUUUGGUUGUAAAGCACUUUAAGCAGUGAAGAAGACUCUUCGGUUAAUACCCGGAGACGAUGACAUUAGCUGCAGAAUAAGCACCGGCUAACUCUGUGCCAGCAGCCGCGGUAAUACAGAGGGUGCAAGCGUUAAUCGGAAUUACUGGGCGUAAAGCGAGCGUAGGUGGCUUGAUAAGUCAGAUGUGAAAUCCCCGGGCUUAACCUGGGAACUGCAUCUGAAACUGUUAGGCUAGAGUAGGUGAGAGGGAAGUAGAAUUUCAGGUGUAGCGGUGAAAUGCGUAGAGAUCUGAAGGAAUACCGAUGGCGAAGGCAGCUUCCUGGCAUCAUACUGACACUGAGGCUCGAAAGCGUGGGUAGCAAACAGGAUUAGAUACCCUGGUAGUCCACGCCGUAAACGAUGUCUACUAGUCGUUGGGUCCCUUGAGGACUUAGUGACGCAGCUAACG